UAAUACGGAGGGUGCGAGCGUUGUCCGGAAUCACUGGGCGUAAAGGGCGCGUAGGUGGCCGAGCAAGGUCGCGGUGAAAGCCCGGGGCUCAACCCCGGGUCGGCCGUGGCAACUACUUGGCUUGAGCACUGUAGGGGCGGGUGGAAUUCCGGGUGUAGCGGUGGAAUGCGUAGAGAUCCGGAAGAACACCGGUGGCGAAGGCGGCCCGCUGGGCAGGAAGGCUCGCAAGAGCCGGCUGACACUGAGGCGCGACAGCGUGGGGAGCAAACAGG
rnacentral:rRNA from 1 species